UCUGGGUAAAACUUUAUGUCCCGCAGUAGAUGAGCGAGGGUUGCUAAAAGCGGGAGCAAGGUUUGGAAAUCUGCAGAGACCACAGUCGCCGGGUGCACCGUGCCCUUGGCUCAGGGCAAGGGGAAACACUGCCCUUCCCGCCCCCACCAGCCCUGGCAUAAGACCUGCAGCCAAGGUGGUUUAAAAAAAAAAAAAAAAAAAAGCGUCCCGGCCCGCGGCGAUGGCUACGGGGAUUGGGAGGGGGUGGCGCGCGCCUCCAGCCUGCCCCUGGAGGCAGUCCGCGGGACAGCAGGCUGGAGGCGCGCCGGCGUGAUUCCGACCGCGGGAGCCGGGAGGAGGAGCCGGAGACAUCCCCACCUUCUGAUGUAACAGCUACGAAUCGCGAGGCUGACCUCUCAUCCUUUGGCCUGGAGAUGAGAGUGUCUCAGGCCCAGUGAUAGGCGGGAAGGGACCGGAGGGAGCCACAAGUCUGCACCCAGGCGGGGAGGAAGCGGGCGGGAGCCGCUCCGCAGGCGCAGGCGAGUGGGUGGGAAGGAGGGAGGGAGAGAGGGAGAGAGGGAGGAAGGAGGUGAGGCCGGGAAGAUGCCACUGCCGGGGGCGGGGCGGGGCCCGGGAUCCGGGAGAGGGACUGCAGCGGUGUUUGGUGGGGGCUGGGGCUGCAAUGUCACUUAUUUGAGGGUCAGGUGUGUAUGUCCCAGGCUGGGACUGCCACUUGCUUACAUCUUCCCAGUACCACCCAGGGCGCAGGGACCGAGGCGGAGGGCAGGGGACUGCAGUACCGUCCCCGAAGCGGGACGCGAACCGGCAGAGUUGGGAGAAGAGCCUCCGCGCCGGGGAGCUGAGCAUGCUGCCCCCGCGUGCAGCGCCCGCGUGCACCCAGCCCGGAGAGGGGGCGACAGGGCGGAGGCGGUGGCCCCCGGAAGGUGUCUGGGACCGGACCCGCUGCACGUGAGCCCAGCGCGGAGUCAUGUGCACCGGCUCAGCCCGGUUCGGCGGCCGGACGUGCUGCGUAUCAACAAAAUGAAACUCAGGGCGACAGGAGGGCAGAUAGCUCUGGGUCCUCCGAACCCCCGUCUCCGGCAGAACGACCUCCCCUCCGCUGCGGUCUCCCGCCGCAGCCCCUCCGCGCGGCCGGAGCCCGCGGGGCAAGUUGCAGCCCUGGCGCGCCCCCGCCCGCCCGCGCCCCCUCACCGGCCCGGGGGCGCUUUGCCGCAGUCAUUAAUAAAGAAGGUCGCCAAGCUCACCCUUCCAAAAGUUGUUGUUGCAUGCGCCCCUCUCAGCCUCCCCGCAAUGUACUCUUUAAAACAUGACUGACCAACAUGCGCAAUCUCUCUCCCCGGUGCUGUGCAUCCCCCCCCCCCCCCCCCCGCGCCCUGGCUUCCUAGAACAGGCAGCCAGCAGGAGAGAGAGGGAGCGAGCGAGCAAGAGAGAGAGCGCGAGCGAGGGAGCGAGGAGCGCUGGCAGAUCUGUUGCAAAAACAUAAAAUAACGCCGUGGAGAUGCGCAGGGCCCAUCGCUGGGGGCAGGAUCUUACCUUCCUCCGCGGUGCCCUUCUGAGGGGCGCUGCCCUGGACUACGCGCCGCGGCGGGGGCCGGCGCUGGAAGGAUGCUCCCGAAACCCGGAGCUCCUGGGGCCGGCGCGGGCGGGCGGGGGGCGCGCAUCCAUCCGGGGUCGCGGCGAGGGAGGCUGCCGGGCCCUCGGCGUCCCCGGCCCCGCACCCCUGCUGGGGACGGUCAGCCCGCUGGACGUAAGCCCUUGCCGCUAGGAAUGGGCACAAAGUAACUCCAUGGACGCUACUCACCCCCCUCCCAAAAAAAUAGCCUCCAACUGCGAUGGCCGCGGUCGGCACCAUUCACCAAUCCCCCUGUGUAUGUUUCUGUUUCUUUUUAAACCAAGACUUCCUUGUGAUCUCUUUAGAAAAAAAAUGUGUUGGGGUGGGGGUGGGGUGGGGGCGGGCGGGAGGAGCGAGGGAGGGGGAGUAGCCACUUUUUUCUUAUUCACUCGGAUCUCCACUCCUGACACCCCCCCCCCGUCUCCCGCCCCACCCCCCGCCCGGUUGUUUGGCUCCGGCAGCGGGUCCAGGUAGGGUUGCAGGCCUCGGGGGGGGGGGGGGGGGGCGGGGAGGGUGCUCUGACCGGCUGCCCGUCUGCCUGCACCUCGGGCCCAGACUCCCCAUGGGCUCUGGGGCGCCCCCAGCCCGCCCUGUCCCCAGGGCCGGGCCCGAGCGGCGGCUGCGCCCGUGCAAGUCCCAUCAGGUCUGCUCACACUUCACACACUCACACACAUACCCCGCCCCUCCACUCUCUCACACUUUCUGCUCACACCCCGCCCCCUUCGAGCCCCAGACCCGGGCGGCGCCCCCCGCAACCUUAAAAAAAAAAAAAAAAAAAGCAAGCUUAUACUUAAAAAAAUCUUUUGGCGCCAUAUUAAUGACGUACUUAAAAUUUGCCAUUUCUCCCUGCGUCAAAAAGACGUUUCUUUGCAAAUAACAGCCUGAAGGCGACACUCGCGGAGGGAACGAGGUUUGCACCGAGCACCCCGCCUCCCGGGGCUCCAGCGCUGGAAGACCCUCGCCCUAGGCCCUGCUCCCGAAUCGCUGGUUUAAAAAUGCGAACCGAAUAAAUCGCGUGGCGCUCUGCAGCGCCAGAAGUGAGCAGAAAGUGCUGGCAGGAGCGGAGGGGAGGGGCACGAGCGCGAGUCUGGGGGAGGGGGCGCGUCCCUUCUCCCCCACCCACAGCAGAUGGAAACUAACGUCCCGGGCGGGGGAAACUUGAAAUUGCCGGCGACCUCAGGAAGGAGGGGCCGUCCGUGGAGAGGGUCCCUCUCGGGUUCGUUGCCCCCCUCCCCCGUUCGGGUGCCUACAGGCUCCCAGCUCUGCCCCGCAUUUCCGGGGGGUGGGGAACGCAGUGAUGGGUGGGUGGGUAGCUGCAAGUCUUGGCCCCAGUAGGAGUUUGCCCCGAGGUGUUCCCUUCCCCCCUAGCUCGUCCUUCCCAUUCCCCCUAAAGGGUUAAAAACCGAGGGGGCUACUUCCAAGGGCUGGCACUUGGCGAGGAAGCGGGGCGCCCCUCUCCCCACCCUUCGCCUCCUCGCCCCUCCUCCUCCGGCUCCACUUCCCGACUUGACCUUGUGGUGCACAAACAGUGCGCUCGGAUCCUCGCAGUUUCUGGAAGAAGCGCUUGCGCUCGCCAGGCAGGCGGGCUGUCGGGCGGCUCGCGGGCGGUGGCGGGGCCUUGGGUCGGUUCCCAGAGCCGCGGGCCACACCCACCCAACCCGCUGCGCCCGCGGUGCUCACCUUCUCUCGAGGAAGGAGCUGCGCUAGCCUCCUGGAUGGGGAGGUGUCGGGGGCAAGCUGCAGCCUUCUCCCAAUGCUCCCAAUUGGGGAGAGGGUGGUCUGGUCUCAGGCGGGGUUUGUUGGGGAGACCUGGGAACCUGGUUCAACAUCCCCAAAGCAUCGUUGCCAACUUUUCCUUCCCCCUCCCUUUUGGCUGCCCCUCAAAGAUGAUCCAAUAAUUUUUGCAACUCACCUUUGGCUUUGAAGGCACGUGGGUGAGUUGUGAACUGGGACAGGAACCGCCUUCCCUCUCCGAGACUGAAGGUUGUUUAUCCUUCCUUUCUUUCCCUUCCACCCCCUUCAAUGGAAAGACAAAUACUCAAUUUACAUAAGAUGACAUUUAUGUGACACUUAAAAAGAUUCCCCCAUGGAAUGUUGUGAACACAUUUGCUUAUAGGAGAAAUAAAUCUAAUAAUAAACAAACUUCCAACAGCACAAAUCCUCUGACGGGUUAAAUGGUCUACACAACAAAGAGGAAGAUGGUGAAUGUGGAAAUAAGCCCUUUCUGCAACAAGAAAGAAAUAUGAGCUCAAAGGGAGUCCCAGAAGCGUUUCUCUUCCUUGGCCUUCAUUCACAAAGUCUGGGAAGGCUUGUUUGGCAAGACUGAGGAACUGGGGUACCACCUCCAGACCUGACUCUAGCUCUGAGUUGGUAGGAUUUUCCCAAGCCUAAACUCAGUGCCAGAAAACAGAUGUCACAAGCUGUUAGCAUGUAACAAAAAUGGUCAAAUACCUGGAUUCAAAUCCUGGCUUUGCAGUUGAGAAGCUACUUGAUGUGGGCAAGCGCAUUCAUCUCUCUGGGUCUCUUUCUUCUAUAGAAUAGGAUGGUUGGAGGGUUCCUGAAGCCGUGUGUAUAUAUACAUAUAUGUAUAUAUGUUUGCAUACAUUCUAUAUGUGUAAAGCAGGGGCCUGGCUCAGAGUGCACGGUGCACAUUAGCACUUUCCCUGGUGUUUGUGUUUUGGAAGGGUGAAUAUGCUCCCUGAAAGCUCUUAACACUGGAAAUACUGGAGAACAAUGAUUUCUAUCUUGUCCUCUAUGAUGACAUAUACACAAGAUCUCCCAGUUAGGGCAAAAAGAAGUAGAAGAGAAAAAACUGUGCUAGAUGGUAGGCUUCAUGGUCAAGGUCCAGAUGGCAGUCUUAACCACACAUCUGAAGUGGGAAUGGAGGCACCAAUUUACAGCGGCACAGUCCAAAGGAAGCACUCUGGGUCUAGAUAUAGCGGGUUUACAUACAGGAAAGGACUGGACAGGCUCCUCCUCUUAGCCAUCAAGAUCCUGUGAGCCUUUGCAGGCAGUUAUAAAAUGACCUAGAGAGAUGGAAGAGGGCGAAGAUGACCAUCUCCUGUGCUGUGCACUAUGCCAGUCAUCCCAUUUCAUCCUCAGAAAAAUCCCAUUUUAUCUAUUCAGAAAGGUUUCGUGACUCACCAACAAUCACACGAGCUAGGAAGUGGUGGCAGAGUUGGCACCUGGUUUGGAUGCCCCCAAGAUUAUGUGUUGUCCAUUUUACCAUGCUGCCAGAAUUAAAAGGUAUGAAAAUUAUUGGUUUGAUUGGGGAUGGGGACCUGACUGCUGUAACAGCAAGAAAGAAUUUUAUGGGUAGCACUUUGCCUCUAAGGCGGUUCCCUGAAUUUGGGUGAGACACAGGUCCCCUAAGGAGUCCUUGGAAGGUACUUCUUGUUUAGGACUGGAAGCUCCAUCAGAAUCCUUGCAUUCUUGCUGCUCUCUGCUACUGUUUAAGGUUAACCUUGAUAAUGUUUACAGAAUAAUAGGAAAGGAGAUAAUUAUAACUCUUUAAUCUUUAGUAAAAGUCUCACAAAUCAUGAACUUACUGCAGAAAAAAAAAAAGAGAGGAAACAUAAAAGUUCUAGGAGAUGUAAUUAUUCAUUUUUUUUUCAACAAAUGUUUACUGAAUGCCACCUGUAUACCAGGUACCAUUCUAGGGGCUGAGGACACAGCACAAAAGUGGCAGACAAAAAUGCCUACUCCCAUGGAAUUCACUUUCUAGUGGAAGGAAAUGCACAAUUUUUUUAAGUGAAAUAUUAUAUUUGAAGGUGAGUAAGUGCUGUUCAGAAAAAUUAAGUAGGAAAGGGGGAUAGGGAACGUGGGCAUGCAAUUUAAAUAGAGUCCUCAGGGAAGAGCUGACUGAGAAGGUGGCUUUUGAAUUAAAGGAGGUGAAGGAAUGAGCUGUGAGGGCUUAUGGGAGAAGAGCAUUCUAAGGCACGGGUUCUUAACAUGGAGUCCGCAGACACUCUCCUCCAGAGAUCUGUGUAUAGAAUUCACAGAGUCUUGACUUCAGAUAGGGAAAAAAAUGUUAUCUUUAUUUUCACGAAUUAACAUUUGGCAUGUUCUUCAAUUAUGAAUGCAGACAGCAAAUCACAGUGCUAUUAGCAGCACCUGUGAUGUUGUUGCUAGUAGAAAUCAGAUAUUUUCAUAGCACAUUAUAGUUGCUGCAAAUAUCUUAAAAUAUCAUUACAGUUAUCACUACUUCAUAAUUAUGCUGCUAGCUCUUGUAAUUUAAUGAAUUAAUAAGAAACACAUAUAUUACUCUAUUACACAUUUUUAAAAUAUUUUGAGAGUUGUAUUUCAGCAUAAUUGGUUUUCUUUAUAAUUUAUGAAACUUAUUUUAUGGAUUUAAAGGUACUGUAAUCAGAAGGAAUCCAUGGGCAUUACUAACUGCCAUAGGGGUCCCUGGCACAAAGUAAAAGAAACCACUGUCUCCACCAUUUGCGGUCUCCAGCAAAUGCAGAGGUCCUGAGGUAGGAAGAUGCUUAUUGUGUACAUGUAGAAGAAAGAAAUGAUAUAGGCCAUUGUUAGGAAUUUGGCUUUUGCUAGGAGUACUAAAGAUGGUUUUGAGCUGAGGAGUGACAUAAUCUGACACUGGAUUUUACAGGUUACUUUGCUGUCCUAUGGAGGACAGACUGAAAGCGGAAAGGCUGAAGCUGGAAGACAGGUGAGGAGGUCAGUGAAAUAAACCAGACUCUCAGACUCAGCCCAGUGGCCACAGAUGGCAGAAGGCAAAGAAGAUCCCUGGGGCUUCUAAACACUUCCCCAGAAACUGGCAGCAGGCAGUAACUCCGGCCAAGUCAGGGGCCAGCUUGACCAGACACUCAUCAAAGUGUGAGACGCCCCGCGUGGAGCUGAGGGACCCGGCUCUGUCCAAGAACCAUCAAGAACCAAAGGCGCUGGCUCCAAGUCAAGUUGAACAGGGUGUGUAGAAGCUGGCUGCCAUGCUGUAAGUACACUCAAGCAACCCUAUGGAGGAUGACAGGUGGUAAGAAACUAAGGCUUAUUGUCAACAGCCAGAACCAACUUGCCAGGAGUGCUGCAGUCUCAGUCAAGCCUUCAAAUGACCACAGCUCUGUCUGACAUCCUGACUGCAAUCUCAUGAAACAGCUCCAGCCAGAACCAUGCAGCUAGGUCACUUGUGAAUUCCUGAUAUGUCACAGAAAGUGGGAGACAGUAAAUGUUUAUUGUUGUUUUAA